rnacentral:rRNA from 1 species
UACAGAGGGUGCAAGCGUUGUUCGGAAUUACUGGGCGUAAAGAGCGUGUAGGCGGUCUAGAAAGUCAGAUGUGAAAUCCCGGGGCUUAACCCCGGACGUGCAUUUGAAACUCCUAGGCUAGAGUGUGGUAGAGGAUAGUGGAAUACCUAGUGUAGUGGUGAAAUACGUAGAUAUUAGGUAGAACACCGGUGGCGAAGGCGGCUAUCUGGGCCAUAACUGACGCUGAGACGCGAAAGCGUGGGGAGCAAAC